GACGAACGCUGGCGGCGUGCUUAACACAUGCAAGUCGAACGAAGUGGCGCACGGGUGAGUAACGCGUAUUCAACCUGCCCUUCAGGGGGGGACAACAGUUGGAAACGACUGCUAAUACCGCAUACUGAGUGAGGGGAUUUCGUCUGAUUAGCUAGUUGGCGGGGUAACGGCCCACCAAGGCGAUGAUAAGUAGCCGGUCUGAGAGGGUGAACGGCCACACUGGGACUGAGACACGGCCCAGAAUCCUACGGGAGGCAGCAGUGGGGAAUCUUCGGCAAUGGACGGAAGUCUGACGGAGCAACGCCGCGUGAGUGAUGAAGGCCUUCGGGUUGUAAAGCUCUGUUAAUAGGGAAGCGGUACCGGAAUAGAAAGCCACGGCUAACUACGUGCCAGCAGCCGCGGUAAUUC
rnacentral:rRNA from 1 species